rnacentral:rRNA from 1 species
GACGAACGCUGGCGGCAUGCCUUACACAUGCAAGUCGAACGGCAGCACGGGUGCUUGCACCUGGUGGCGAGUGGCGAACGGGUGAGUAAUAUAUCGGAACGUACCUUAUUGUGGGGGAUGACGCAGCGAAAGCUGUGCUAAUACCGCAUAAUCCCUAAGGGGGAAAGCGGGGGACCGUAAGGCCUCGCGCAAUUAGAGCGGCCGAUACCUGAUUAGCUAGUUGGUGAGGUAAAGGCUCACCAAGGCAACGAUCAGUAGCUGGUCUGAGAGGACGAUCAGCCGCACUGGGACUGAGACACGGCCCAGACUCCUCCGGGAGGCAGCAGUGGGGAAUUUUGGACAAUGGGGGCAACCCUGAUCCAGCAAUGCCGCGUGAGUGAAGAAGGCCUUCGGGUUGUAAAGCUCUUUUGUCAGGGAAGAAACAGCAGCUCUAACACAGUAUGCGAAUGACGGUACCUGAAGAAUAAGCACCGGCUAACUACGUGCCAGCAGCCGCCGUAA